UAGGGAAUCUUCCGCAAUGGACGCAAGUCUGACGGAGCAACGCCGCGUGAGUGAAGAAGGAUUUCGGUUCGUAAAACUCUGUUGUUAGAGAAGAACAGCGCAUAGAGUAACUGUUAUGCGUGUGACGGUAUCUAACCAGAAAGCCACGGCUAACUACGUGCCAGCAGCCGCGGUAAUACGUAGGUGGCAAGCGUUGUCCGGAUUUAUUGGGCGUAAAGCGAGCGCAGGCGGUCAAUUAAGUCUGAUGUGAAAGCCCCCGGCUAAACCGGGGAGGGUCAUUGGAAACUGGUUGACUUGAGUGCAGAAGAGGAGAGGGGAAUUCCAUGUGUAGCGGUGAAAUGCGUAGAUAUAUGGAGGAACACCAGUGGCGAAGGCGACUCUCUGGUCGGUAACUGACGUUGAGGCUCGAAAGCGUGGGUAGCAAACAGG
rnacentral:rRNA from 1 species